GGGUCACUCGUUUCGACCCGUUCAGAAAAAAUUUAUUUUGAUAAUUUUAAAGUUUAAUUACUAAAAGAUCUAUUAUAAAAUACAAUAGCCAUAUUAAUAUAUACAAUAUAUUCUAUAAUAAAUAUAUAGUUUUGUAUUAUUAUUCUAUAUAAGUUUUAAAAAAAAAUUUAGUCAUUAUUUAUUUUUAUUAUGAUAGUUCCUUAUUAUCAUUACUAUGCUUAGCUCGACACCAGUAUGAACCACAUUGAGUUUUGUUGCAUAAUUUGAAUAUAUAAUAGGAUAAAUAAUCCUUUAUAAAAAAAAUAGAGGAUAAAUAAUGACUCAAAGGCCUAAGAAUGAAAGAAAAAGAAAUUAGUUAGCCUGAUGUAAUAUAGAUUAUACAAAUAAUGACCAAAAAAAAUAAAAAACCAAAUAAGAAACAAAAUAAAAAAUAAAAUGUAUUAUAACAUACGUAACUGGUAUCAAUAUAAUUAAAAUCUUUUGACAUUCAUCCCAUUAAUACGUAUAUUUGAACGCCCAAAAAUAGACUAAUCGUAUAAAGGGCAAUAAAAAAAUUUUGCAAAGAGCAAGCUUUAAAAAUAUAUGUUGGCUCAUCAUCACACAAAAAAAAAGUUACUUAUUUGGAUCAAAAUGAACUUCAAUCUAUAAACAAAACCUUCAGGACUAAACGUAAUAAUUGAGUGCGACAAUGGUCUUAAAUCUAAUUAAAACAAAAUCUCCUAAUUGAUGCGACUUACCAUAAAAGUUGAGAACUUAUACAUGCAUACUUUUGGCUGGCCAUGUGAAAGGGAUAACAACACAAGUUCUUGAUGGAUAAUAAAACCAUGAAAUUCUAGUGUAAAAAAAGGGAAUUCUAAACAUACGUGAACCUUGUUUUUGUACUGCCAAAUAUAUCUCACUAUCUAUAUGUAUCAUCCUUGUCUGAUUCCUAUAAGAUCAUGAAACUCCAUGGAUAUUGAUUCAUUAGGCUUGGUUUGCCACAAAUGAUUGAAUUGAAAUGGAUAAGAUAUUAUCUUUAAGGUACGUUAAAAGAAAGAAAUGAAAAAAUUCUAAUCAACUUAAUGGGAGCACAGGAGAUGGAUUACUAAAGAACAAAAUGAUGGAGGAUUUAAAUGAUAAGUUUUCUUCAUGUCUAAUCAACUUAAUGGGAGCAGGAAUUGGAUAAGACAUUUCAACCCUUCUCAAAAUGAUGGAGGAUUUAAAGGAUAAGUUUUCUUCCUGUUUAAUUCUCUCAAUCUCUUGUCACUAAGUUUUCUUCAUGAAUUUGAAAUACAUUAUUGCUAACACAUUGUGGGGGCGUUUGUUUGCCAUCGUUAGCUCUCACUGGACUGCACUGGACUAACAGUCAGUGUAGUCCCAUGUUUGGUGUAGCAAGGGACUAAGUUAAAUGGGAUAAAGGGGGACUCGCUUUCACUAAGUCCCUCACUAGGAGGUCUUAGUGAGACCCUCCAAAAGGCGUCGGACUAGUAAGCCCGUCAGCUUCGCUUCGUCUCCGUCUGUUGCGUCCACAUCCUGCUUCAUCUGCUUUUAAUCCUUUCCCGCAUGAUUUUUCCUCUCUGCCUCUCCCUUGCCUUAUUUGUUUGGACUGACUGCCCCACCCACCCCUAUAAAUCACAAAAUUCGAUUACUUACCACCCACCAAUCGGUCAGCUCGAUCCACAACCCAUAUUGAUGUCUCCCAAAUGCCUCCCACCUCCUCAAUGCCUCCCAGAUCGUCCUCCGCGACCUCCAAUUUCAUUACCUCGCUGCCAAGUGCUCUCUCUCUCACUGCUGAAAUUAGGAAAUGGAUUCCCUUUUUUGCUGAUUUGGUUCAAUGUUUUGCUUGAAAUUGGUUUUCCAUUUGUCGAUUUUUGGAUUUUGUGGUUGGGUUUUGGUUCACUUUGACUGCUGAUGCCUGGGCGAAUUGAGAGCAUACUCCAGGAAUUGUCUUUGGCAUCACUUACUAUCUCUUUCAAUUUGUGGCUCAAUACAAUUUCUGGGCUCACAUUUCAGAACCUCAGAUGGCGACGGACAAAAGGAUUACAAUACAAUUUUUUCCCUAAUUUUAUUUUUUUAUUUUUUUAUUGGGUGGCUUUGUGAGAAAUUUAUUAUUAUGUUUUAAUUCUGAGAAAUUGUUUGGUUUUGUUUGAAUUGGGCAGGUAGAGAAAAGUGGAUUUAGUUAAUUUCAAUAAUAUCUUUAAUAAAAAAGCAAUUAAAAUAUAACAGUAAUGUAGUUCUAGUCUGAGCAAACACCAAACUGGUGACAAUAUUGUUUUCAUUAUCCUGCUUCUUAGUCCAACACUACACCAAACGCUUCACUAAGCUAGUCCAGCUUAGUCUAGUCUAAGCCAAUCCAGCUUAGUCCCUGAAGCUAGUCCAGUCCGAGACAGUCCGGUGCAACAAACGCACCCUGUGAGACUUAGCUA
rnacentral:lncRNA from 1 species